rnacentral:rRNA from 1 species
UCCUUAGAUGUUCUGGGCCGCACGCGCGCUACACUGACAGAGCCAGCGAGUUUUUUUCCUUGGCCGGAAGGUCUGGGUAAUCUUGUGAAACUCUGUCGUGCUGGGGAUAGAGCAUUGCAAUUAUUGCUCUUCAACGAGGAAUACCUAGUAAGCGUGAGUCAUCAGCUCGCGUUGAUUACGUCCCUGCCCUUUGUACACACCGCCCGUCGCUACUACCGAUUGAAUGGCUUAGUGAGGUCUUGGGAUUGGCUUCGAGGAACCGGCAACGGUACCUUGUUGCUGAGAACUUGAUCAAACUUGGUCAUUUAGAGGAAGUAAAAGUCGUAACA